rnacentral:rRNA from 1 species
CAAUAGCGUAUAUUAAAGUUGUUGCGGUUAAAAAGCUCGUAGUUGGAGUUCUGCCAGGUGCCGCCUGUCCGCCCCAGUGGUGAGUACGUGGCGCGCGUUUGGCCCUUUCAAGGGGAGCGUAUCUGCACUUUAUUGUGUGGUGCGGGAUCCUUGACUUUUACUUUGAGGAAAUAGGAGUGUUCCAAGCAGGCUCUCGUCGUGCAUAGCUCAGCAUGGAAUAAUAGCAUUGGACUUCGUUUCUACGCUGUUGGUUGCAAGAAGCGAGAUAAUGAUUAAUAGGGAUAAUUGGGGGCAUCUGUAUCAACGCGUCAGAGGUGGAAUUCUUGGAUUGCGUUGCGACAAACUACUGCGAAAGCAUUUGCCAAGGAUGUUUUCAUUAA